CCGAUUUGUAGUCCUUCCCUUUUGCCCAGAUUAGGCGUCGCUUCAGUAAACCCUCCCUGUUUUACCCUCCCAUCAGCUUCCCCUUUGUUUCUCUUCUGUUCCUUCUAGCCUCUGCCGAUUUGCUCCCUCCGUUUCUUUCUUUUCUGCCCUCUGUUUAUUUUCUUUUCUUUUCUGCCGAUUUGCUCCCUCCGUUUCUUUUCUUUUCUUUUCUGCCCUCUGUUUAUUUUCUUUUCUUUUCUACCGAUUUGCUCCCUUUGUUUCUUUUCUUUUCUUUUCUGUCGAUUUGCCAGUUUCUGCUGAUUUCUGAGUUACUGCAACUGAAAGAGUUUAUCAGGACACACAAGUGGGAUAGAUUCAGUGACCUUUGAUUCCCCGGAAGUUUUGGUAGCUGCAGGUGCUGCAAGUGGUACCAUUAAGCUAUGGGAUUUGGAUGAGGCAAAAAUUGUUCGGACUCUGACUGGUCAUAGAUCCAAUUGCAUUUCUAUGGACUUCCACCCCUUUGGCGAGUUUUUUGCAUCUGGCUCUCUUGAUACAAAUCUAAAGAUAUGGGAUAUCAGAAAGAAAGGGUGCAUCCACACUUACAAGGGUUAUACUCAAGGAGUCAAUGCAAUCAGGUUCACACCAGAUGGUCGAUGGGUUGUAUCCGGUGGUGAGGACAACAUUGUGAAGGUGUGGGAUUUGACUGCUGGAAAAUUGUUGCAUCAAUUCAAGGAUCAUGAAGGUCAAAUUCAGUGCUUAGAUUUCCAUCCACAUGAGUUUUUGCUGGCUACAGAUUGGUUAUUACCUUCUAUUAGAAUAGCUACUGCAUAUUCCUCAUUGACUUGAGAUGUUAUUCUAUGUUGUCUAAAACUAAAGAGAGUUUAUGCCUUAACUUGUAUGGAACCAUCAUGGUAGUAAUUCCAAAUAUAUCUUUGGGCAGAUUGUUCUGUCUGGUUUUGCGGGUAUACUCUUUGUGAUUGUUCUGUAUGAAACCUCGUGCUUUCUUUGAGUUUAUGCCUUAACUGUCCUUUUGAAUGGUAUACUCUUUGUGAUUCGUUUAGUUCUCCUCACUCCUUUGAUCUAUUAUAUGAAGAGCGGGUUAUGGAUCAGAAAGCGAAGCUGAUGAGGAAGCUGCAACAGUUAAUCUGACUAGUGAUCUUAGUCGAGUUAAUCGUGCCUCUACAAAAAGCGCGGUUAAGCUUCAAGAAAUUGGACCUAGAAUGACUCUCCAACUCACCAAAAUUGAGGGUGGACUAUGUUUUGGUGAAGCUAUGUUCAAUGAAUAUGCAAUGGUGGCUAUAAGAAAGAGCCAGGCAAUGAGGGUAAUGAAAAGGAAGACGGUGAGAAUGAUGGCCAAAUGGAGGAUAGCGAUGAAGAUGAUGAAGCGGAUAACGAGGAAGAUAUGGAAGAAAGUGAGAAGAUUAGUGCUUUAGCAAAGUGGAAGGUGCAAUACAACUUCCAUUUUCUGAUUAAAUGACAUGGCAUUUGACAUUAGCCAUGUUCUUUACAUGGGGAAGAUGCUUAUCUGGAGUGAGGAUCUGAUAAGCUUUUGUGCCAGUUAGCCUCUUGUUUUUGCUUUUUUACUUCCAAGCUUUGUUUGUUUCCUCCUGAAUUUUGGCUUAAUUUGUUGUAGAAAAUCCAUAGAUUUUGAUAUAAGAAAGAAAAUGCCAUAUUUUCAACUUUUUUUCUCAAAA